rnacentral:rRNA from 1 species
AGUGAACGCUGGCGGUAGGCCUAACACAUGCAAGUCGAACGGCAGCACAGUAAGAGCUUGCUCUUACGGGUGGCGAGUGGCGGACGGGUGAGGAAUACAUCGGAAUCUACUUUUUCGUGGGGGAUAACGUAGGGAAACUUACGCUAAUACCGCAUACGACCUACGGGUGAAAGCAGGGGAUCUUCGGACCUUGCGCGAUUGAAUGAGCCGAUGUCGGAUUAGCUAGUUGGCGGGGUAAAGGCCCACCAAGGCGACGAUCCGUAGCUGGUCUGAGAGAAUGGUCAGCCACACUGGAACUGAGACACGGUCCAGACUCCUACGGGAGGCAGCAGUGGGGAAUAGUAGACAAUGGGCGCAAGCCUGAUCCAGCCAUACCGCGUGGGUGAAGAAGGCCUUCGGGUUGUAAAGCCCUUUUGUUGGGAAAGAAAAGCAGCAGGUUAAUACCCCGCUGUUCUGACGGUACCCAAAGAAUAAGCACCGGCUAACUUCGUG